AUGUCAGGAAUAAAGAAGAUCCAUAACCAGCUAGCAUAUGAUAUCGAAGCUUACAUAAAUGGCACAAAAUAUAUAAUAGAUGAAAUUACAAUAAGAGAUUUGUCAGUAAUAAAUGAUGACAUGAUAAUAGGGUUAAGAUUUUUACAACAAUCUUUACAAACCACAAUCAUACAUGAAGAGGGGGUAACAUUUAUUCCUUAUCAAGAUAAUGUUCCAUACAUAUCUGAAGUGCGAAAACAAAGAAAGUCCUUGCAAAAUGUAGAAAUAUCUAAUUUAGAUGAUGAAUAUAGCACAAGUCCAGAUCCCCUUGAAUUCUGUAAAGACGAAGAACUUAGUGAGACCAUAAAAGAAUAUCAUAUAGAAAAUACAUGUACUGAAUGCAUUGGGUUGCAAUCAUUCCUUCCAAAUUGGUAUAGAGAUAUAAAAUCCAAAAAGGAUAUAGAUAAGAUUGUGCAAAGACUAGAAAGUAUACAAAUUAUUGGAGAAAUACCAAUGAAACAUUGGGAUAAGAACUCUAUAGUUUGCAAAAUAAAUAUCAUAAAUCCAGAUUAUAUAAUUAAGUCAGGACCAAUAGAAGCAACUCCUAAAGAUAUCGAAGAGUUCAAAAUGCAUAUUGAAGAGUUAUUAAAGUUAAAAGCUAUAAGAGAAAGCAGAAGCCCUCAUCAAUCUGCUGCUUUUAUAGUUAGAAAUCAUGCUGAAGAAGUUAGAGGCCUAAAGAAUGCACCUGCACUAUUUCAAAGAAAGAUGCAAAAUAUAUUUAAUGAGAAUCAAGCAUUUAUAUUAGUAUACGUAGAUGAUUUGUUAGUAUUCUCAAAAUCAUACAAAGAGCAUAUAGCCCAUCUUGAAGUGUUCUUUCGAAAGGUAGAACAAAAUGGGCUCAUACUAUCUAAAAAGAAGAUGGAGAUUUGCAAAGAGAAAAUAAAUUUCCUUGGUCAUGAAAUAGGAGAAGGAAAAAUAUAUCUACAAGAACAUAUUGCAAAGAAAAUAUUAGAGUUUCCUGAUAAUAUGAGUGAUAAAAAGGUUUUACAACAGUUCUUAGGAAUUGUAAACUAUGCGCGAAACUAUAUAGAUAACUUAGCAAAGCUAGCAGGACCUUUAUAUGCUAAAUUAAGAAAAAAUGGUCAAAGAUACUUCAAUUCUGAAGAUAUAAAAUUAGUAAAGGCCAUCAAGGAAAAGGUCAGGAAUUUAAAACCCCUAGAAUUGCCUCUAGAAGACAAUUAUUUUAUAAUUGAGACAGAUGCAUCUAAGGUAGGAUGGGGUGCGAUACUAAAACAAAAGCCCAAUAAAUACUCUCCAAAGGCAGACGAAAAAAUAUGCAGAUAUGCUUCAGGAAGUUACAAAUUAAAGACGGUAAAUAAUAUUGAUAGAGAAAUUCUUGCAGUUGUAAAUGCAAUAAAUGCAUUUAGGUUAUAUCUAGGAUUUAAAGAAUUUACAGUACGAACAGACUGUGAAGCCAUAUGCCGAUAUUACAAUAAAAUUAAAAUAAUGAGGAAAGGAUUAUUCGCCAACAAGGAUGAAUAUCUUUUCUUUGGAGAAGAAAAUAGGCUGAAAAUGUUUCAGCCAAAUACAUUCAAUUUUAAGCCAAAAUCCCAUAUUAAGCUCGAUGAAGCUCAAAGAUGCAUAUUGGAUAACUUUUGGUUCCAAUAUACUCGCAAAAGAGAGGAACAAGGAUAUUUUUUAUCAAUUCUCAGCAGUUUGGCUGAAUAUUUUAAUGAAUUAAACAAAAAUGUGCCAAAGCCAGCAAAGGUUGAAAUACCAAAAGGAGAAACUCUAUAUCUUAUAUUUGAUGGAAACAAACCUGGCAUAUAUUUGGAAUGGGAGAAUAUUAUGAUUGAAAAAUUAGAUGCAAAAAGAAAUGGACAAGAUUUAACAUUCAAAAGAUAUUACAGUAUAGAUGAGGCCUUACUUUGGGCAAGGAAGGUAUUAGGACCAGAUUAUUAUAUUGACCCAAAGGCUAAAAACUAUAUCCAAAUGAAAAGAGGCAUACCUGCUUCACCAACUCCCACAAAGGGGGAGGCAUCAAGCUCAAACAAUAUAAAGAAACAAGAAUCCCCAAAAUAUAAGACAUAUCAAGAAUGCCUUCUAAAGGGGCUUGACCCUUUAGACAGUGAAUACAUAGAUCAAGAAAUGGAUAAAAGGUUUGAAGAAUUUUCAAAGAUAAUAAAGAAAGAAUUAAAGGAGGAAAUAUUAAAAGAAUUAAGGCAAGAAAUUGAUGAAAAAUUUGAAGAAAUAAAGAAAGAAUGUGAUGAAAAAUAUGAUUUCAAUCUGUUAAAUGAUGAUGAUCAUAUGGACAUAGCAGGGCAUGGGCAGCAACCUGAAUAA
rnacentral:rRNA from 1 species